rnacentral:lncRNA from 1 species
GUAAUUUAAAGCAGAAAUACAAUUUUCAGUGCUCUGAGGUGGCAUAGUGGAGUUCAAUUGUCUCAUGCUGUUACUCCUGCAUAUUUGGGCUCUGAAGUGAAACUGGCAGAGCUUCAAUGUGGCAAUACCACUACCUCUCCAUUGUGUGCACAGGAAGCUUAGGAAAAUCAGGCUCAGAUAUAAACUUCAGAAACUUAUACUGCCUUAUCUACUGCAUACUGCAAAGACGUGGCCAGCAACAUUUCUGCCAAUGCAAGACUUUGGGAAAAAUGUCUGUAUGUAAAUGUAUAGUUACUUAUUUUAUGUUAACUUGGUUCUUCAUAGCUAAGAAUUAAUCAAGGCUGCAAAGCUAUGUGAGAGCAAUAGUUUCUUUCCAUUUGGAAAGAAACUAUAAGAAACUUAGACUUAAACUAAAAGAAACUUAUUUGUAAGGCCUUAUGUGUAGUUAUAUACAGAUAUAGCUGAU